GGCGAACGGGUGAGUAACGCGUGAGUAACCUGCCCUGGAGUGGGGGGACAACAGUUGGAAACGACUGCUAAUACCGCAUAAGCCCACGGAUCCGCAUGGAUCUGCGGGGAAAAGGGAUUUAUUCGCUGAAGGAUGGCUUCGCGUCCGAUUAGGUAGUUGGUGAGGUAACGGCCCACCAAGCCUACGAUCGGUAGCCGGACUGAGAGGUUGAUCGGCCACAUUGGGACUGAGACACGGCCCAGACUCCUACGGGAGGCAGCAUGC
rnacentral:rRNA from 1 species